CGCUGGAGGGUUCUGAGCAGAGGAGGCACAGACUGUGACAUGACCAGCUAUUUUUAGUCUCCGUUUUGUUCCAGGUUCCCAAGUUCACAGUGGACUGUGUUUAACAGACCUUAGAGAAUUCCAGCUUCCCGUGACCGAACCUGACAUCAACAACAGGCUGGAGUCGUUGUGCCUCAGUAUGACCGAACACGCCCUGGGAGACGGGGUUGACCGGACCUCCACCAUCUAGAAGCUGAAGACGAGAGUGACCGCGCUGGCCGUGAAAUCGACUGCUGCGGGUCCAGUGUCCGCCAUCUUCAGGGUUGCACAGAAUCCUCCAAGAUACUUUGCAGCCUUUUUUCCCCCUGGUCCCUCUCCCGUUUUGAUUUUGUGAGAGCGUAGGUCAUCCUCGUAAACAUAUCAGUAGACCUGGG
rnacentral:lncRNA from 1 species